AUGAGGAGGCUAGAGAGGUUGUGCCUUGAUUAACAUCAUACGAAUAGUAAGUAGCAAAGUUUACCUAUAGGAUGACUCAUAUUAGCUUAAGAUUGGAAUUCUGAGAGUGGAAGGCAAAGAAGAAAGACAGAAGCUUGAGUAAACAUAUCCACUGGGAAAAGUGGCAGGAAGUGACUCUCAUUUGAAGAGGAACAUCACUUAGAGAAUUUUCUGGGAGACCAACAGAAAUUAUAUUUGGGGAAGGCAUGGGGAAAGCACAGGCCAGAAGAGGAAAAGCUUACUCAAAUCUGUGAUUGGUUCCUUAUUUUCAGUGCCCUCUAAAUUUGGUGCCCUGGAGAAAACUCUGGUCAUCUCAUCCUGAGGGAAGAAGAGAUGAAAAUUUUCAUUUCCUUUCCUGUAAAAGCCCUGGGCAAAUUUGUAAAUGAUUCGUUCUCUGGAUAUGGACAGCAUUCUUCUCAUAAGUUCCUCUGGAUUGUCCUGGAUCAUUGCAUUGCUGCUAGUAGAGAAAUUCAUUAUGUUCAAUUGUGUCAUAAUGUAUCAGUCUCUGUGUACAAUGUUCUCCUGAUUCUGCUCCUUUUGCUCUGCAUCAAUUCUUGGAGGGCAUUCCAGUUCACAUGGAAUUCCUCCAGUUCAUUAUUCCUUUCAGCACAACAAUAUUCUAUCACAUUCAGAUGCUUCAUUUUCCAAUUUUUUGCCACCAAAAAGAGCGGGCAUAUAAAUAUUUUUGGAUAAUUAUUUUUUUUAUUAUCUCUUUGGGGUAUAAACCCAGCAGGGUAUGGAUGGG
rnacentral:lncRNA from 1 species